rnacentral:rRNA from 1 species
UACGUAGGGGGGCAAGCGUUGUCCGGAAUCAUUGGGCGUAAAGCGCGUGUAGGCGGCCCGAUAAGUCCGCUGUGAAAGUCCAGGGCUCAACCCUGGAAUGCCGGUGGAUACUGUCGGGCUCGAGUCCGGAAGAGGCGAGUGGAAUUCCUGGUGUAGCGGUGAAAUGCGUAGAUAUCUGGAGGAAUACCGGUGGCGAAGGCGGCAUCCUGGACCGACACUGACGCUGAUGCGCGAAAGCUAGGGGAGCAAACGGG